CAUUUUUUUGGUUUUAUGUUAAUUAUGAACUGGGCCGUUUAAGUGGACUGAUAAACUGGGCCGUUUUGUGGCCGUAACCCCUACAUAUAUGUUUUAUGUUUUUUUAACUGCGUUUAUUUACUUUUUUAGUCAUUUCAUUUAAGUUUUUAAUUUUUUUUUAUUCACGUCCACCCCGGACAGGUUUUGGGGUGCGGCCGCGCGUUGGGCGCACCCACGACCCAUCGGACAAACGCGGACAUGGGCGAACCCAUCGGCGCCCCGAAGGGACAAAAUCCGGCCAAACCGGACGUCCGUUUGGGGUCGCGCGGUGGAGUUGGCCUUAGCGUGUUCUCCCUGAACUUCAAAUACACCGAGGAAGUCUGCUUUCCUCCGUGAAACUCAUGUACUUGUAUUCUGUUGCUUCGUUCGUUCAUUGUAGCACGGGGGAAACCCUUGUUUUUGUAAAAUAAUACUCCCUCUGUAAAGAAAUAUAAGAGUAUUUAGAUAACUAAAGUAGUGAUCUAAAUCCUCUUAUAUUUCUUUACAGAGGGAGUAGUAAUUGCUCCGCUUGCAUAGAAUAGCUACUGUUUACAUCUGUAUACAGAUGGCUUGACACAUGCAUAAAGAUGCUCCCGAUAGGAUUUGAAGCGGGGUAGUUUAGAACAUUUGGAUUUUCUUACAAAGGCUCUAUUCAUUUCUGGCAUUAUGAUUUUUCGAUUGUAUGAUGGAUGCUCUAAAUGUUGCUUAACCUGGACCUAACUUGCAAAGUUAGUACUUGUUUACACCCUGUUCUUCACUGCAAACUUAUAUGAAUCUAUGGCUCUUUAUCCAAAAAGUUCCACUUUGAUUAAAAUGCGUAAAGAUCAGAUAGUUGAGCUCUUAUAUUGCUAUCACUCUUUAUAAUCACUGUAUCUUAAAUCGUUGUUUUCUUUUGCCAUUCACAAGCUGGGGAAAAUGAGGCUGAUUACAUUGGCCGAAUAACUGAGUUCUUUGAGGGUACCGACCAGUGCCACUACUUUACAUGUCGUUGGUUCUUUCUUCCAGAGGACAAGAUGUGGUAACAGAGGCGUCAAUGGAUGAUAGCGUUAAAAUCUUGAGGUGUGCGGCAACCAGUAUACCAUCACCACAGCCAUGUGACAACUUCACUUGCGAACUGGCAUGCUUCAACCUUAUAAAGCUGCCCAAACAAGGAAAGUGUACUGAUUUCCAAUGUAAGUGCAUGAUAUGCGAAGACACCUCUCCACUAUAAUGACAAGUGGGUGGAAACUAGCUAAGGUAGGAUGACAUGUUCAAUGGAAUGAUGCGAGGAAAUCGAAAAUGGUAUAGCAGCAUGGUUGUUCACUAAUAAUCGACAUAUUAUGAAGAAUGAUGGAUUUGAUCUAGCUUCUUGAAUGAUCUAAAAUUAUGAAGCUAUUGCUACAUAAUGUUUAUGUGUAUUUCUUCGGGCAUAUUAUGUUAGAAUAUUUGGGCUUGGCCCAAUAGCUAAA